GAAUAUCUUGUCUAAUUUAAGAAUUUUGGUGAAGAGAUUUGGGGGUUUUUCCACAGUAAGUCCUAAAGAAUGGCUCUCUUUGGCACCUGGUGUCAAGGCAUUAUUUAGACGUUGUAGCCAAGUGCUUCACAAGCUUUAAAGUGCACAUGAAUCUUGUUAACAUGCAGAUCUGGUUCAGUGGGUCUGGGGUGGGACCUCAGAGUCUGCAUUCCUAACAAGAUCCUGGGAGAUACCAAUGCUGCUCCUGCGCAAACCACGCUCACAGGGAAAGCAAGCAGCCAGCAAACAGCUCACUUGUGCUGUUUUGUCAAGAAUGGACCUCAGAGGUUGUGUUUGAGAAGCUUGGCACACUGGUCCCUGCUAGACAGCUAACACACCCGGUUAUCUUAUCUGUGGCUGAUAAUGACUUACUGUCCUGCUGCUCCCAGAUGUCAACAAGGGCGCCUCCUAUAAUCUCAAUGGGAAUACUUGGAAAGAGUGUCUCAAAAUCCCACUGCAUACAGCACGGCUGACCAGCAGGCAGAGAGGAUUUUUCAGCACAUACUCUUAUUAUCUCCCCACAAGUUUGGAAAUAGAUUUUGUGAUUGCACCUGACAAACACGGAGAUGAGGAUGCAGAAGAGAAAGUUGAGCACCAGUCAAGGUUACACAGGCGUGAGUGCCAGGUGGGUUCUCCUGGCAUCCAACACAGCUUCGGAGAAGCACAAGCGGGAAGCAAGGGACCCGUGAUGCAGGCCUGCAGCGAAGCCCUGGCCAGCCUGCCUCUCCACGGAGCUGGUUGAAGUCUGCAGAGAACUGGGCACCGCAGCUGUGCGUGGCACGAGAGGACAGUCUGAGAAGACCUGAAGUGAUGUACAAGAGGUGUUCAAUACAUGGUGCGUGUCACACUGUAAGAGCUCAAUAAAUAUUUGUUCACUGAAAAGACCCCAGCGCCGUACCUUGGACUUCUGAAGAUAGUGACCAAGUCUCUUCAGAGACAUUUCAGCUCCUUCUGAUGAGAUGGCACCUUGACAUGCUGGCCGCCUUCCUCUUGAUACUUCCCAGUUUAUCAUCAAACUGUAACUCUCUUAAAAGGCUGAGUCCAUCCUGAAAACAGUACUCCACAUAGGGCCAGGCCGGCUCUGGGCACAGCGAAGCUCUGAUUCACGCUUGCACACAUUUGCUCAUGGUAGAUGAACAGGGAGGAGAAAUCCUGCGUGCAGUUAAUGUUGGAAAACUUGACAGAAUGAAAUAACUUGUAGAGAGAUGAGAAGUACCUUUCCUGCAUUAAUACAAACAAAUAUUGGGGAGAGGGGCCCUGCUACAAAGACCCAUCAACUGGCAGGUAGUCAAAAAGCCUGCUGGGAAUAGGGGACUAAAAAAAGGCAGAGCUACAAGGAUCCCCCCAGGUCAUCAAUUCCUUACACAUUUCUGUAUUAUUAUUCUGUGACACUGUUGUGCCACGAUUUCUACACAUUUCCCUAAAAUGCUAUGAGCAAACUGAGGGCAAGGACCAGCCUUGAGCACUGUUCCUAGUGCCUCGUUGGUGUCCAGUAGUUUUUAAUUGAAGCAGAACAUGAUAGCGCUCUACCCCAGGCCCCAAGCCCAGGUUAGGAUCACCCAGUCUCCCUUCCACUCCUAGCUCUCCGCCUGCCUGUGGUCCUGCUCUUUAAGCCUGCCUUUGGCUUUCAUUUCAGCCAGAUUCUUUGCAAAACCCUUUCGUUUUCUGUACUCUUCCAUUUGAGAAUUAACCCUUCACUUGGCAAAGAACUAAGUCUACUCUAAGUUACCUGGACAAAGGGUACCCACAGCCCUCCUGGAACCUGGCUAUUAAGACAGUGACAUUCUACUGGGGGCGAUAUUAGCAAACUCCAUCACCCCCCAACCCCCAUUACCACCCAUAAGCCCCCGGUAGUUGGCAGAGAAACCUAACUGCUUC
rnacentral:lncRNA from 1 species